CUAGCCUAGUGUCCUAGACUAGUGGCCUGGCAUGGUCCUCUAGCCUAGAGUCCUAGACUAGUGGCCUAUCCUGGUCUCCUAGCCUGUUGACCUAGACACUUGUCCUAGCCUUGUGAACUAGCCUUAGUGUCCUAGUUAAUGUCCUAGCAUGGGGCCCUACCCUGAUAUCCAAGACUAGUGAGGUUAGAUGACAUGUUAGGAAACUUGGUGGUGUAGUAAGUAUGUUUGGGUUCUUCGCAGGGCAAUGAUGAAAACAGCAGGUGGUUUUCAGUGAGCAUACCCUGGGUUAAUUUGAACCUUAUCUCAGAUGUCUCAGUUCCAUGACAGUCUACAAAACAUUCAGAAACUGUUUACCUCCGUAAAGCCUGAGGAGAUGUGAUAGUUCCGAGCCGAUCCCUGAAAAACAAGACAACACAAAUUCAACUUCAAUCUAAGGACAUGUGUUGCUUCAGCGUUCACAAGGAAACUCAUUCACCAAGGCCUGGUACAUCAAAGAGGCUUGAAUUUCUGCCAAACACGAGGAAUUUUGAAGCGUCUCGUUGAGUGAUGAAAGGUAAAGUACCAACACUUAUUUACUGGCAUUCUGACGUGCCAAAGCUGCCCCAGUUCCCCUACCAUCCUCUGACCAGAUCUGCCCAUCAAUCUCUAAAUAUAAAUCCCGUAUUUUGUGGCCCACCGUCAAAGAAAUAACUCAAUACGGUUAAAAACAAAAUCAUCUAUCUAAUAUCCAAAUGAUCACAUUCCUUAUAAUAAGCUGAUGUUGAUUUAUGUAGUUGAAAACUUUUAUCAUUGUUACAUUUUUAAUGUGAUGUUACAGCACUGUUUGUUUUGGUAAGGUCUUAUUCAUGGCAUGACAGCCAUGUUGAGAUAACAAAAUACCUACUGUACACACUCCAAAAUACACCUCUUACUAAACUACUGUUAACACCUUUCCCAGGGUUACGGUUAAGGUUAGAACAGCACAGACAGCUUUCCACAGCCAUUCAGGAACACACGAUAUGAGCUCCCCAUAUCCAGGGAUCUACACUUAGGAAUGAUGUCACUAAAUAUUCUUCUCAUUCCUGUUCUUGACAAGGUGUUUGUUCCGAGUGCUUUAGGAAAGGUCUACGUAUCCAACAAUAACCUCAUGUUCAACGGCAGCUUGCAGCACUUGAUUCCGACCCAUCAAACCCUGGAGGACUGACGGCCCGACGUUCCUGGACAACCCCCUUAUUGGGUGUAGGGUGUGCUGCUUGGGGCGAUGAGUCUGGGUGCUAGCGGCCCGCCUCUAGCUGGCUCCCCCGCUGCCAAAGUAAACAGGCUGGAUGUGGGGCGGCCCUGUACAGCGACAGCCGGCAGUGAAGACCCUGACAACCUUUGAAAGGUCUGGGAAGAGAUGAGUGAACGGCUGCUCAACAGGCUGCCGUGUGAGCAGAAGACCGCCAUGACAUCACCAGAGCUGUCUGACCAGCUCUGCGAGGGAGACGACGACGGUGCGAUCUGAUUGGUUCCCCGCCAGGUGAUUCAUCAGGCCGCUGUGUCAGGCUUUCCACAACACGCGGCGAACAAUCGGCCUGUGAUUGCAGCGCCGGCAGAUCGCCUGAUUGAGCGAUACGGAGCCCCCUGACACCCUCCGCCACCCCCGCCGCUCUCGUGGAGAACCUCCACCCGGCCGCCGACGCACCAACGCCUCCCGACGGAGGCCAACCACAACACGGAGCUCCUUAACGCCGCCGGCCCGAGUGACGGGUGGAGGUUCGCUUCCCCUGGAAGGACCCCUUGGAGCCGCGCCAGAUCUCUCCAUCUCAAAGUGAAAACCAAUAACACGGAAAAUACUUAGCGUCUGUGGUCUGGAAGAGGAUGUGUUGCGCCGUAGAUCAUAAAGUGCUUGUAAUGAUUGAUAUCAGGUCUUAGAGGAUUGAUUAAAUAUCAUAUUUAAUAUGUA